GGGGGGGGCGGGCGGGGGGCGGGGGGGGGGGGGGUGGGAGGGCGGCACAGUAAGAGCUUGCUCUUACGGGUGGCGAGUGGCGGACGGGUGAGGAGUACAUCGGGAUCUACUUUUUCGUGGGGGAUAGCGUAGGGAAACUUACGCUAAUGCCGCAUACGACCUACGGGUGGAAGCAGGGGAUCUUCGGACCUUGCGCGAUUGCAUGAGCCGAUGUCGGAUUAGCUAGUUGGCGGGGUAAAGGCCCACCAAGGCGACGAUCCGUAGCUGGUCUGCGAGGAUGAUCAGCCAAACUGGAACUGAGACACGGUCCAGACUCCUACGGGAGGCAGCAGUGGGGAAUAUUGGACAAUGGGCGCAAGCCUGAUCCAGCCAUACCGCGUGGGUGAAGAAGGCCUUCGGGUUGUAAAGCCCUUUUGUUGGGAAAGAAAAGCAGCAGGUUAAUACCCCGCUGUUCUGACGGUACCCAAAGAAUAAGCACCGGCUAACUUCGUG
rnacentral:rRNA from 1 species